rnacentral:rRNA from 1 species
GUGGGGAAUAUUGCACAAUGGGCGAAAGCCUGAUGCAGCAACGCCGCGUGAAGGAAGAAGGGUUUCGGCUCGUAAACUUCUAUCAACAGGGACGAAAAAAAUGACGGUACCUGAAUAAGAAGCCCCGGCUAACUACGUGCCAGCAGCCGCGGUAAUACGUAGGGGGCAAGCGUUAUCCGGAAUUACUGGGUGUAAAGGGAGAGUAGGCGGCAUGGUAAGUUAGAUGUGAAAGCCCGAGGCUUAACCUCGGGAUUGCAUUUAAAACUAUCAAGCUAGAGUACAUGAGAGGUAAGUGGAAUUCCUAGUGUAGCGGUGAAAUGCGUAGAUAUUAGGAAGAACACCAGUGGCGAAGGCGACUUACUGGACUGAAACUGACGCUGAGGCUCGAAAGCGUGGGGAGCGAACAGGAUUAGAUACCCUGGUAGUCC